AAUAAAACAAUUGCCUCCAACUUGCUAAUAAUUAGAAUGAUACAAAAAUGGAAUGGAUUUUUCCUGGAUUUGUCAGUUUCAUUUGGCUGGAGAACCUAAGGCUGAAGUCAGAGGACCUUUUCUCAGGCUAAAGAGGGUGCUCCUGUUCAGUUACAGGAGGGACUGUGCAGUCAUCUAAGUCCCUUCCAGCCCUGAGAUUCUGGGAUUGUAUGUGUAUGUAGUCUUGGUUCAUAAAAGGGAUGCCAAGGACCAGUUGAUAGUCUGCCAAUGCUUCCCCUCAGGACUUCAACCUGUGGAACACUUCAAACUGCUGGUGACUUGCCAAGGAGAGAGAUGUGUCUGAAAAAGUCGAGCUCGUGAAAUAUUCUCUUCUCAUUCAUCAAGUCCAUUCCAAGUGUAAGCAAUGGUUGUGUCCUGUGGCAGCCAUGGUGGAAGCCGGGAUAACUUCAUGGCAUCUGCAUGAAUGUCACGCCAAUCUGGGGAAUACAUUUGGUACUCGAUGAACCCCAGGAUGGAGAAGAGCCUCUGAGGCAUAAAUGACUCUAGUAUCCCCAGUGAACUGAGCUCAAGUCUACUACCCUCCACACUUGAUCUGUUGCCUAGAGACAAAAGUGUUUCUUCCAUUUAAGCCUAUGCAAGGAUGCCAAUCAUGGAUAUGCUCCAUUAUGUUGGAAAACAAAAAAUCCUUUGAACCUAAAAUCAAAACUAGACAGUGCGAUUUGAAUUUCAGCAAAAAUCCCCUCAACGGCAUCCCUGGCUGGUUGGAAUGAUACUUAUACUGGUGAAAUUCCAGACAGAAGUAAGAAUUAAAACACACCUCUGAAUCGCUCCAGAACCUGAUAUUUUCUUUUCAUCACAUUAAAUA